rnacentral:rRNA from 1 species
GAUAAACGCUGACAGAAUGCUUAACUCAUGCAAGUCGAUGAUGGGAGCUAGCUUGCUAGAAGAAGUCAUGGCGGACGGGUGAGUAACGUGUAAAGAACUUACCAUAUAGACUGGGAUAACAGAGGGAAACUUCUGAUAAUACUGGAUAAGUUAGUAGUAGCAUUACUAAGUAAUGAAAGGUAGCAAUACGCUAUAUGAGAGCUUUGCAUCCUAUUAGCUAGUUGGUGGGGUAAAAGCCUACCAAGGCGAUGAUAGGUAGCCGGCCUGAGAGGGUGGACAGCCACAAGGGGACUGAGAUACGGCCCUUACUCCUACGGGAGGCAGCAGUGGGGAAUAUUGGACAAUGGAGGCAACUCUGAUCCAGCAAUUCUGUGUGUGUGAAGAAGGUUUUAGGACUGUAAAACACUUUUAGUAGGGAAGAAAGAAAUGACGGUACCUACAGAAGAAGCGACGGCUAAAUACGUG